rnacentral:rRNA from 1 species
AACGAACGCUGGCGGCAUGCCUAACACAUGCAAGUCGAACGAGAUCUUCGGGUCUAGUGGCGCACGGGUGCGUAACGCGUGGGAAUCUGCCCUUUGGUUCGGAAUAACAGUUGGAAACGACUGCUAAUACCGGAUGAUGACGAAAGUCCAAAGAUUUAUCGCCAGAGGAUGAGCCCGCGUAGGAUUAGCUAGUUGGUGUGGUAAAGGCGCACCAAGGCGACGAUCCUUAGCUGGUCUGAGAGGAUGAUCAGCCACACUGGGACUGAGACGCGGCCCAGACUCCUACGGGAGGCAGCAGUGGGGAAUAUUGGACAAUGGGCGAAAGCCUGAUCCAGCAAUGCCGCGUGAGUGAUGAAGGCCUUAGGGUUGUAAAGCUCUUUUACCCGGGAUGAUAAUGACAGUACCGGGAGAAUAAGCUCCGGCUAACUCCGUGCCAGCCGCCGCGGAAA